UUCAGUUCAGUUAGAGGGAGAGAGAGAGAGAGAGUGAGAGAGAGUCAGAGAGAAAAAUGAAAUACCUUGAGGGAGGGAGCACCGGAGCAGCCGAGCAGGGAGCGAGCGAUCCGAUCUCAAGCGGCGUUGACGACGACGACGCGGAGGGGCGAGCGACGACGGGCGGAGGGGCGAGCGAGCGAUCCGAUGAAGCUUGAGAUCUCCGUCUGUUGCUCGGACCGAGCGAUCCGAUCUCAAGCGGCGACGGCAUUGAAAAGAACCCGUUGCUCUGUCUUUAGGUUCAUAUAUCCACCAAGCCUGAUGGCCAAGUAGCUAGGGGCUUGACGUGGAACCAUGCCAACUGUUUCUUGGAACAGUCUCCAUCUACUCAAGUGGAGAAGUUGUCUGGAUGGGAGAGACUCUCACAAAUCUCUCUCACAACUCUCUCUCUCUCUCUCUCUCUCUCUCUCUCGCUGUGUUACCAAUGGAGCCUUCAUCUUCAUCCAAAUCCAAAUCCAAGAAACCCCAUUCAAAACACUUCAACUCACCACACCAGCUGAGCUCCAAAACUCCAGAAAAACAGCCCACACAGCUCCCCGCAACCGCAGCGUCGCCCUCUCCGUCAACGAAGUCAGAAAAGUCGCCGAAACCCUCCGCCCCAACUCUCCGUCAGAAGGCAGAUCCAAUCCUCCCCAGAAAUCCUCGACCCUCACAAGUCCAAGAAACCGCUCCCCCAGCCCACUAAGCUACCCGAAGAGUAUGAACUUUUUUGGUUUAUACAGUGAUUUGAUUGGUUUAUUUGUUUUAGCUUUUAAUUAAUGUUUUUGGGUAUUUAUUUGUUCUAUGUGCAGGUAUGAGAUUCUUGCUCAGUUUUUUGAUAGCUUGGAUAGUUCUAUUCAGUUGUUGCGCUUGAAGGGUUCCUCAUCCUCUUUUACCAAUAUUUGCCCCAAAAUUAAGUGUUUAACUGAUUGGUAAAUUUUUAUGAAGUUAUGAACUUUGUUUUCCCUCUUUUUGGUUGCUUAGAAAAUAGAACCUUAAACGUUUGUUUGGAUUUGGGAAAAGCGUGUUUUUAAAAUGUAAUUCCGGCACUUGAAAACAGAAUAGAAACACAUUGCCCAAAAAGUUUUAAGAGGGAAAAUGUAUUCUCUCAAAACACAGAUUUUUCAGUUUUUUUAGAUCAGUUUUCAAAGACAAUUUUAAACCAUUCCUCCACAUGCUUCUUACAGUAAUUUCCAAAAAUCUAUUUCAUGCUUCUCCUCACUUUGCUUUUUCAAGCCGUGCACGUAAUGACUCAGGCCUUGACGUUUUAUUUAUAUUGCAAAAAAAAACAGAUAUUGGUAAAAGCAAGCUUAAUUUUGGGGCAAAUAUUGGUAAAAGAGGAUGAGGAACCCUUCGAGCGCAACAACCGAAUAGAAAUAUCCAAGCUAUCAAAAAACUGAGCAAGAAUCUCAUACCUGCACAUAGAACAAAUAAAUACCCAGAAACAUUAAUUAAAAGCUAAAACAAAUAAACCAAUCAAAUCACCGUAUAAACCAAAAAAGUUCAUACUCUUCGGGUAGCUUAGUGGGCUGGGGGAGCGGUUUCUUGGACUUGUGGGGGUCGGGGAUUUCUGGGGAGGAUUGGAUCUACCUUCUGACGGAGGAGUUGAGACGGAGGGUUUCAGCGACUUUUCUGUCUUCUAGAAUGCUUGAUGCUGCUUACAUAGGAACUUUUAUAUAUCAAGACAAUAAGUUGAACAUACAAAAAGCAAGCUUUCUAAUAAUCUUGCCAUGUAAUUUACAUAUUUCACAAAGACUUCAUCUUAAGCUCCUGAGUCUACUUCCACAACCGUGAGAUUGCCGGAUUUCUCUCGGGCAAAACGGAGGCAACAAAUGAUUGCUAGCCUGCCUAAGCUCUUCAACAUGAUUCACUUCUUAUUUCAGUCUAUUAAGCGGUCUGUUAUCACAAAAGAGGAGCUUAUACACAAGAUAAUUGCAAGCCAUUGUGAUAUUGUUGACAGAAGAGAAGUUGAAGAGCAGCUAAACCUCUUAAUAGAAUUAGUUCCGGAAUGGAUUUCAGAAAAGUUGGCAUCUGGAGGAGAUUUGCUCUUCUGGCGAGCCUUGUUAAUAUGUGAUAUGGUUGUGGAUGGAUCCAUUUUAAUUGUUAUAGAGAACAAAUGGAUAUUCAAAUAUUUGUCUUUAGAAGAUCAUAAAUUAUUCUUCAAGCAACAAAACUUAUUCAAAUUGUUUGAUGUCAUUAUCUGUUCUUUUUUGCAGUAUAAAUAAAACGUCAAGUCUUGAGUCAUUACGUGCACGGCUUGAAGAAGCAAAGUGAGGAAAAGCAUGAAAUAGAUUUUUGGAAAUUACUGUAAGAAGCAUGUGGAGGAAUGGUUUAAAAUUGUCUUUGUAAAUGUCAAUUCUUUGUUGUUAGCUGAUGAUCGUAGAGUAUAUUUUGGAAGUAGACUCAGGAGCUUAAGAUGAAGUCUUUGUGAAAUAUGUUAAUUACAUGGCAAGAUUAUUAGAAAGCUUGCUUUUUGUAUGAUCAACUUAUUGUCUUAAUAUAUAAAAGUUCCUAUGUAAGCAGCAUCAAGCAUUCUAGAAGUCCUUGGGAAGUUUUCCCUUGCGUCAAUGUCUUAGUAUUUUGUGUUUUUAUUGAUUGGGACCAGUGUAAGCUCUAUAAUUCCCUAAAACCUAAGUAAAUGCUUAUUAGCUGACAAAUGUUGUGUAUGGCUAUGUGAAUUGUGAUGUGUCUAGGUAUGUUAGGAGACUAGCAUUAUGUAUGAAAGGGGCACUAUACAUUGCUCCCCCACGGAAGUCCCCGCAAAAUUUGAGAACCAGCUUUGGAAUGGCUAUUGUAGUACCAUCAAUUUAUGUCUCUGCAAAGGAGACUCAAAAGGUG